rnacentral:rRNA from 1 species
UACAGAGGGGGCAAGCGUUAUUCGGAAUUAUUGGGCGUAAAGGGCGCGUAGGCGGCUAUCCAAGUGGCGGGUGAAAUCCCUCGGCUUAACCGAGGAACUGCCUGCCAGACUGGAUGGCUCGAGACCGGGAGAGGUGAGUGGAAUUCCCAGUGUAGCGGUGAAAUUCGUAGAUAUUCGCAAGAACACCAGUGGCGAAGGCGGCUUACUGGUCCGGUUCUGACGCUGAGGCGCGAAAGCGUGGGGAGCAAACAGG